AAGGCAAGGAAAAGCGAAUUCGCCAGCCGAACAAGAUGGAAAUUGUUGGCGAAAAUAACGCGCGAGCAAGUUUUUACCUCGGCAGCUGCGUCGCUGUAAAGAGUGUCUCUCUUCAAAAGAGUGGCCUGCUCUUCUCGACGCUAGGCUCGGAUUUUUCGCCACGCGUGGAAAAGCAGAAGAGACGCUCUGAAGCAAAAGUUCCCGGGUGAAAUUUCUCGUGCUCGGAAAAAGGGGGCAAAUCUUUCUUCUUUCUUUCUCUUUAGAAGCCUCCCGGAGGAACGCGCCGAGCUACUUUCGAGUUUCACGCAGCGUUGGGAAAAAACUUCGCGCAAGAAAAUUUACAUCCGAAAUUUAAUCCUGACCAAUAAAAACUUUUC